rnacentral:rRNA from 1 species
AUUGAACGCUGGCGGCAUGCUUUACACAUGCAAGUCGAACGGCAGCGCGGGGCAACCUGGCGGCGAGUGGCGAACGGGUGAGUAAUAUAUCGGAACGUACCCAAGAGUGGGGGAUAACGUAGCGAAAGUUACGCUAAUACCGCAUACGAUCUAAGGAUGAAAGUGGGGGACCGCAAGGCCUCACGCUCCUGGAGCGGCCGAUAUCUGAUUAGCUAGUUGGUGAGGAAAGGCUCACCAAGGCGACGAUCAGUAGCUGGUCUGAGAGGACGACCAGCCACACUGGGACUGAGACACGGCCCA